GACGAACGCUGGCGGCGUGCUUAACACAUGCAAGUCGAACGGAAAGGCCCUGCUCUUGUGGGGUGCUCGAGUGGCGAACGGGUGAGUAACACGUGAGUAACCUGCCCUUGACUUUGGGAUAACUUCAGGAAACUGGGGCUAAUACCGGAUAGGAGCUCCUGCUGCAUGGUGGGGGUUGGAAAGUUUCGGCGGUUGGGGAUGGACUCGCGGCUUAUCAGCUUGUUGGUGGGGUAGUGGCUUACCAAGGCUUUGACGGGUAGCCGGCCUGAGAGGGUGACCGGCCACACUGGCAGUGAGACACGGCCGGGACGCCUAGGGGAGGCAGCAGAAGGGAAUCUUCCGAGAUGGGCGGCAGCGGGAGGGAGCAACGCCGCGUGAGUGAUGAUGGUCUGCGGAUGGUAAAACGGUGUUAUGAGGGAGGAACAUAUGUGUAAGUAACUGUGCACAUCUGGACGGGACCUAAUCAGAAAGCCACGGCUAACUAGGUG
rnacentral:rRNA from 1 species